GUUUUGCCUCAACAGAAAAAGUUCUGGAAAGUGAUGAAGACAGGAUAAUACAAGAGGGACACUGUUCAUCUACUGCGGCAAGAACUUGGAUGAAAUUGUGAUAGAUCCUGAUGGUGUGUUUGUUGAUUUAUUUUUUCUUUGUUUGCUUGUUCUGUGUUUACCAUAUAUUCCUUUCUGCUAAAUCACAUUGUUAAGUUGUGCUUUGUUUUGCCUCAACAGAAAAAGUUCUGGAAAGUGAUGAAGACAGGAUAAUACAAGAGGGACACUGUUCAUCUACUGUUUAUGAACCAAUAGCAGAGGAGGCACAUCCUCCUGCAGAGAGGAAUGACUUGCCACCACCACCCAAAAGACAAAAACCACCAUCACCACCUUCAGGACCCAGUGCUGUGAGGCCUUGUUUUCAAGGUCAAACAACCCAUAAGAAAAAUCCCUGGCAGCAGACAGAGGUGCAGGCUGUGGAAAGGCACAUGAUGCGAUUCAUCACAUCUUUUACUGUACCAGGAAAGAGUGACUGUGAGAAGUGUUUAAAGGCUGAACCAGGAGCUCUAAAGAACCGGGACUGGAAGAAUGUGAAAUUCUUCAUAUAUAACCGUAUUACAGCCUAUAAAAAGAGUUUGCAGUGCAAAUAAUAUGAAGAUUACCAACUCUCUGGUAUGGCAGUUUUCGUUUACAAUAGCCUUUUUUCUCUCUUCCAUUGAAUUUUGAGGUAGGUAUCCAAAGAGGUCAAAACUCCAGCAUAAAUAUAUACUGCCCUACAAAGGCAAAGUGCAGUAACUACGCAAACACUGAAACUGAGAAAAAUGCCUUUAAAGUUUUUACAUUAGCCAGUCAAACAUAUUGUGGGUAGAUUAGUGGCAAUGCAUUCAUUUACAGCCUUAGGAUGAAAUUUUUUAUAGAUAAAAACCAUGACCACUGAUGUGAGCUUUGACCACCAAAAUGCAGAUACUGCACUCUGCCUUUGGAUGACCUUAAACAACUACAACACUAUUGCAAAAGCAAAGUGCAGUACCUACAAACUAAAUCUGAUACAAAACUAGUUCAUCCAGCUUUCUUGUUGUGUUUCUUGCUACAUGUUGAUUGUUUUUAAUAACUUUAAUAGUUUUAUUGAUGUUUGCAUGUUGUGAAUGUUAAAAUUACUCGGUAGUAAGCCUCAAGAUCGUCUUAUCGCAAUGCCCCUUUCACCACAAAGAGUGUUUUGCUCUUUUUUUUUUAAUUUAAAGUAAUUAAUUACAGACCAAGUAGUUAAAACAGUAGUAAAAAUUCACACAAUUUAAACUUUUCCUAACAAUAUAACUAGGGAUGUCAUAAAGGAAAAUAAGGGUUAAUUGUGAUUCUUUAUAGGAAAAUAAGGGACAGAAUAAGGGAUGCUCAAAAUAUUUGUACUGUACCACAUCCUGUGCAUCAUUUCCAUGUCUGCAGUUAAGUAUAUAAAAGGUGUAUAAAAGGUUCUCAGAAAAAAUCUCAUUUGUUUGCUCAGCGAAUUUAUGUACAAUUAUUCUAAAAGGAAUUUUACACCCAAACCACUGGCCUGUGAAAUUGUGAAAGAAGUCAUCCCUCAGGUAGAUUGUAUGUUUUCUUGCCUAGCUGCGUAGGCGUGCCCAAUGGCAGGUAAGGGGACGCCCCUUAACCGAGCGUAUAUAGCCCCUGCACGCGCUACCUUUCCUCAGUGAGCAUAUUCGCUUCUCGUGCAGCAAGCGGGGCAAACUUGGUGGAUCUCUCCACUCGAUGUUUCAGAGAACCGGGGUUACGAACAGUAACCUAUUGUUCUCUUUCAUCAUCUCGUGUUCGAGAUCCACCUAUGGGAGAUAUGGACAACUCCCCAGUUGUCCAGUACACUCACAGUGAGGCCCUGUAAGCCAAAGAACGGUCACCUGGCAAGGCGGUGCUUGACACGUCACCAAAUAUCUGACCCCACACAAAGGGAGAAUGCAAUACCGGCCAUGUAAGAAAUGACAUGUGGUAACAUGCAUACUAGAUCUGACAACAACAUAAUGCCAAGGCAUAUAUUAUAGAAAUAUACAUAUGUAUAUAUUGACAUAUACAUACAUAUAAAAAUAUAAUAAUGUGUCAGGGGAGGGUACAGAUGACCUGCUUACUGAGAUGAAUGAGCCGGGCUGGACAACCCAGGCUUAAAAAGGUGUAAAGGGUCUAGGGGCACAAGGCUACAAAGAGCCCACACCUAAAACCGAGUAAGCUACCGGGGUGCAGGUAACAUCAAGCCGGUAGUAUUUGACAAAUGUGUGUAGAGAGGCCCAGCUUGCAGCGGCACAAAUGUCCUGCAAGGAAACCCCUUUAAACGGAGCUCGCAAGGCUACUAUGUCCCUAGUGAAUUACGCUCUGAGGCCCACAUGGCUGCACUCCAUUUGAUUCAUAUGCCAGAGAGAUGGCUUCCACGAGCCAAUGAGAGAGGCAUUACUUAGAAAUGGAUUUUCCCCAUGUUCAGGGGGCCCAUUAGUUGAAGAGCUGAUCACUCCUGAAAGGGCUGGUCCCCGCACAACGGGACCUAAAGCAUUUAGCCUCUGAUCCUCCGCAGAGGAGGGUGAAAAGCAGAAGCUCAAACACUUUACACGUGAAAGCUGGGAAGCACUCUGGCGUAAAGGCCGGGUUAGGCCUUAGUUACUGCAAGAAAAUUAGUGCACGAGGGAUGAACAGAGAGCCCAUGCAAAUCACUGACAUGUUUGGCGGAAGCCAAGGCCAGGAGCAGAGCUGUCUUAGUCAGCUGCUUACAGGAGAUAUCUCCCUAAUUCGUUUAAAAUAUAAAGAUACUACUACUAAUAAUAAUUUCCAAUCAGUAGCCCAUGUACAAUGAAGCUAAUAGUAGGGCACUCUUAAACUGGAAUUUAUUAUGUGUGUAUUCAGUUGUGCUUAAAGCAAUUAUGGUAUUUUCAUGGAGUGUAGCAGCAGUAUCAUAGAAUUCAGAUUGCGUUAUUAUCGAAUUGUUAAUAGCAGUAUGCAUAGCAAAUCAAAUUAUGCGUUUAGUUGUGGUAGCAGUAGGUAGACCGUAGUUUAUAUUUACAUUUAUUCAUUUUGCAGAUGCUUUUAUCCAAAGGGACUUACGAUUGCUGAAGUUUCAGUGACCAAAAAUUAAUGGUAUGUGAACUCAAGCAAAUAGGCAUCAUUUGUGUUCGUUUAUUUAAAAGGGGCUUAUAGCAAUUCUAAGUAUCUUUGUGCAGCUGUAGCAGCAGUAUGCAUAGUCAUUCAGAUCGCAGGUAGCGAAUUUAAUAGCAGCAGCGUGCAUAGCAAAUUCAUAUGCAAUGUUAGAAAUAAUAUUAGCAGCAGGAAGUCAAAUUAUUGUUGCUAAUAUAGCAGCGGCAGCAGAAAGUACUUCAGUUGCUUGAAGUUUCAGUGAUAACGCAUGGGGUAAGUAACUCUUUAAAGUGAAAUAGGCAUUUUAUAUUUA
ensembl:lncRNA